GCGACCCCAGGUCAGGCGGGAUCACCCGCUGAGUUUAAGCAUAUCAAUAAGCGGAGGAGAAGAAACUAACAAGGAUUCCCUUAGUAACGGCGAGCGAACCGGGAAGAGCCCAGCUUGAAAAUCGGAUGUCUUCGACGUUCGAAUUGUAGUCUGGAGAAGCGUCCUCAGCGACGGACCGGGCUCAAGUUCCCUGGAAAGGGGCGCCAGAGAGGNUGAGAGCCCCG
rnacentral:rRNA from 1 species